AUUGAACGCUGGCGGCAUGCCUUACACAUGCAAGUCGAACGGCAGCACGGAUGCUUGCACCUGGUGGCGAGUGGCGAACGGGUGAGUAAUACAUCGGAACAUGUCCUGUAGUGGGGGAUAGCCCGGCGAAAGCCGGAUUAAUACCGCAUACGAUCUACGGAUGAAAGCGGGGGACCUUCGGGCCUCGCGCUAUAGGGUUGGCCGAUAGCUGAUUAGCUAGUUGGUGGGGUAAAGGCCUACCAAGGCGACGAUCAGUAGCUGGUCUGAGAGGACGACCAGCCACACUGGGACUGAGACACGGCCCAGACUCCUACGGGAGGCAGCAGUGGGGAAUUUUGGACAAUGGGCGAAAGCCUGAUCCAGCAAUGCCGCGUGUGUGAAGAAGGCCUUCGGGUUGUAAAGCACUUUUGUCCGGAAAGAAAUCCUUGGCUCUAAUACAGUCGGGGGAUGACGGUACCGGAAGAUUAAGCACCGGCUAACUACGU
rnacentral:rRNA from 1 species